rnacentral:lncRNA from 10 species
CGGGUGCAGUGGCUCACGCCUGUAAGCCCAGCUCUUUGGGAGGCCGAGGCGGGCGGAUUACCUGAGGUCAGGAGUUUGAGACCAGCCUGGCCAACACGGUGAAACCCCAUCUCUUCUAAAAAUACAAAAAUUAGCCAGGCUUGGUGGAAUGUAAAACAGAGUAUAACACCAUCAGAAACUUAGCAGCCUUCAUCUCUUUAAUUACUCUUAACACACACACACCCAAGCAAAGAGAUAAAAGGAAACAUUGGGAGGUUUGUGUAUGUCUGUUACCUUGACUGUGGUAAUGAUAUCAUGGGUGUUUACAUAUGUUCAAACUCAUCAAAUUGUACACAUUGAUAGGUUUGGUUCCUUGUGUACCAAUUAUACUCCUGUAGAUUCUGGGUACCAAUUUCUCAUGGCCCUCCUGUUUGCCUAUUUGGAACACAUCAGGAUGCCAUAGCAUAUGAUUUAUAAAGCUCUUACCUUGAGCAUUUUCUAGACUCGCAUUGUGGACAUGAAUUCUGUUCAUGAAAAAAUAAAAUAAAAUAAAACUUAUAGGCUGUUUUAUACCUUAUUUGGACCUAAAAACUUACAAUAAAUUUAUUGCCAAAUACAAGUUUCUGGGUUUAAUAUUGUGAACAAUAGAAUACAAAAUAUUCUGCUUUCAGGGCAAUUGCUUUUAUUUAUUAUCAUUAUUAUUAUUAAUACGGAGUUAUUAACAUCAUUAAAGUUUAUUUCUCACUCAUGCAAAGUGCAAUGUGGAUGUUCUUGGUCAGACAAUCUACAGGACAUCUCUAUCCAUCCAGGACAUCCAGGACAUUCUGAUUCAUCCUUCAAGGGGUGAAUAGGGAAGGAGAUACUUUCCAUGUAUUGGUUCUGGGACCACUUUGGCUCUUGCCAUCCUCCACUGAGUCU